UGGAUCCUUGAUUUAAGCGCGUUCGACUAACCCAACAGACAGAGGCAGAGAGCAACCAAAUUUCGGCCCGAUCGAUCCCAGCCUAGAUUCCCUAGCCCGGCCGGUGGGGAGCGAAUCCGGCAAAGCGACGGCGAGGGGAGCAGGGGUGGAGGAGCCAUGAAGCGCUGCUGCCUGCGGCUACAUAAGCCGCGCAGCUCCGUUUCGUUCUGUCGGGGAGAAGGAGGAUGGCGCGGCAGCGGGGGCGCGUGGUGCUGCGGCGGAUCGAGGAUCGGAGGCGGCGGGGGAUCUGCUUUAGGAAGCGGCGGGCGGGGCUGGUUAAGAAGGCGGAGGAGCUCGCCAUGCUCUGCGACGCCGACGUCGGCCUCCUCGUCAUCAGCCCCUUCGACGGCACCUUCCAACGCUUCGCCGCGCCCGCGACUAGGUUUGGAGAGCUCAAGUCGGUGCCUUCAUGAAGAAGUAUGUCAACUAAGGUUUGGAAGGCUUAUAUUGUAAAGAAGGCCUAAUCCUUUGCCUUUUACCUGGGCUCAAUCUUGUGGUUGAACUCUUUUUCUCAUAUUUAUGUUCAUAAUACAUUGCCUUUGUAAAUGGUCGUAGUCUUAGUGAGCAACUCUUGGGGUCAAUGUUGUUUUUAUGUUC